rnacentral:rRNA from 1 species
GGAAUUUUCCGCAAUGGGCGAAAGCCUGACGGAGCAAUACCGCGUGAGGGAGGAAGGCUCUUGGGUUGUAAACCUCUUUUCUCAGGGAAGAAAAAAAUGACGGUACCUGAGGAAUAAGCAUCGGCGAACUCCGUGCCAGCAGCCGCGGUAAUACGGAGGAUGCAAGCGUUAUCCGGAAUGGUUGGGCGUAAAGCGUCCGCAGGUGGCUGUGUAAGUCUGCUGUUAAAGAGUGAGGCUCAACCUCAUAAGAGCAGUGGAAACUACAUAGCUAGAGUACGUUCGGGGCAGAGGGAAUUCCUGGUGUAGCGGUGAAAUGCGUAGAGAUCAGGAAGAACACCGGUGGCGAAAGCGCUCUGCUAGGCCGUAACUGACACUGAGGGACGAAAGCUAGGGGAGCAA